UCAUGGAUUGGUAACUGGUUAAAAGAUAGGAAACAAAGGGUAGGUUGCCUAGCUCCCAGGAUCCCAAAUACCAUACCAGAUAUUUUGAAACUCUAUGGCCACACAAGAAGUGAUAGGAUUUGCUAAUAAAUGUUAUUAAUUUU